rnacentral:rRNA from 1 species
CUACGUGCCAGCAGCCGCGGUAAUACGUAGGUCCCAAGCGUUGUCCGGAUUUAUUGGGCGUAAAGCGAGCGCAGGCGGUUAGAUAAGUCUGAAGUUAAAGGCUGUGGCUUAACCAUAGUACGCUUUGGAAACUGUUUAACUUGAGUGCAAGAGGGGAGAGUGGAAUUCCAUGUGUAGCGGUGAAAUGCGUAGAUAUAUGGAGGAACACCGGUGGCGAAAGCGGCUCUCUGGCUUGUAACUGACGCUGAGGCUCGAAAGCGUGGGGAGCAAACAGGAUUAGAUACCCUGGUAGUCCACGCCGUAAACGAUGAGUGCUAGGUGUUAGACCCUUUCCGGGGUUUAGUGCCGUAGCUAACGCAUUAAGCACUCCGCCUGGGGAGUACGACCGCAAGGUUGAAACUCAAAGGAAUUGACGGGGGCCCGCACAAGCGGUGGAGUAUGUGGUUUAAUUCGACGCAACGCGAAGAACCUUACCAGGUCUUGACAUUGAUGGACAGAACUAGAGAUAG